UUUGGCACUAAAGGGCCUUCUUUUAUGCAGGUUUUCCUUACAUAGGACCACCCACAGGGUUUUACAGAACAACCCUUUAUGACCGACUGCAAGCACAUUUUCCUUCCCAAAACAGUUCCAUAGAUUUGGGCUGUGCGGUCGGUCAAUUUCACGCUGAAAAAUGACUAAGUCUCAUUCAAAUGCAUGAACGAGGCCAUUCAUGCAUUUGGCUUAGUAUAGCAGUGAGUUCAAACUGCCAAACGGGACUUAGUCUCUGAAGCUGAAAACGGAGUGUAGAAGAAGAUAAGGGUCAGCGGUGUUCG